UACGUAGGUGGCAAGCGUUGUUCGGAAUUAUUGGGCGUAAAGGGCGCGUAGGCGGUUUGUUAAGUCGGCUGUGAAAGCCCGGGGCUCAACCCCGGAAAGUCGGCCGAUACUGGCAAGCUAGAGUACGGAAGAGGUAGCUGGAAUUCCCGGUGUAGCGGUGAAAUGCGUAGAUAUCGAGAGGAACACCGGUGGCGAAGGCGGCCAACUGGACGAGUACUGACGCUGAGACACGAAAGCGUGGGGAGCAAACAGG
rnacentral:rRNA from 1 species